GACGAACGCUGGCGGCGCGCUUAACACAUGCAAGUCGAACGGAAAGGCCUGCUUUCCCUUGUGGAUUGCGGGUACUCGAGUGGCGAACGGGUGAGUAACACGUGAGUGAUCUGCCCCCAACUUGGGUAUAAGCCUGGGAAACUGGGUCUAAUUCCCGAUAGGACUGCAGGGUGGUGCCUGUGGUGGAAAACGAUUUUCUAGUGGUUGGGGAUGAGCUCGCGGCCUAUCAGCUUGUUGGUGGGGUAAUGGCCUACCAAGGCGGCGACGGGUAGCCGGCCUGAGAGGGUGGACGGCCACAUUGAGACUGAGAUACGGCCCAGACUCCUACGGGAGGCAGCAGUGGGGAAUAUUGCACAAUGAGCGGAAGCCUGAUGCAGCGACGCCGCGUGGGGGAUGACGGCCUUCGGGUUGUAAACUCCUUUCGACCGCGAGGAAGCCACCUGGUUGGAAGGGUGGUGACGGUAGUGGUAGAAGAAGCACCGGCUAACUACGUG
rnacentral:rRNA from 1 species